rnacentral:tRNA from 1 species
GGGCUGCGAAUGCGAGUGGCAGCAGCGGGGCCUUUUAAGCCUUUAGUCAGAGUUCGAGCCUCUGGCGGCCCACCA